CAUCUCCACCUCCUCAAGUGUAAGCAAAGUGGAGGCGCCUGAUGAGGUGUGUGAUGGCGAGAUGCGCAAUGAGGAGGCUCCUGAGGAGAUGUGAUGGUGAGGUGCAUGAUGAGGAGGCUCCUGAGGAGGUGUGUGAUGGCGAGGUGCACGAUGAGGAGGCUCCUGAGGAGGUGUGCGAUGGUGAGGUGCACGAUGAGGAGGCUCCUGAGGAGGAGUGCGAUGGUGAGGUGCACGAUGAGGAGGCUCCUGAGGAGGUGUGUGAUGGUGAGGUGCACGAUGAGAAGGCUCCUGAGGAGGUGUGAUGGUGAGGUGCACGAUGAGGAGGCUCCAGAGGAGAUGUGAUGGUGAGGUGCACGAUGAGAAGGCUCCUGAGGAGGUGUGUGAUGGUGAAGUGCACGGUGAGGAGGCUCCUGAGGAGGUGUGUGAUGGUGAAGUGCACGGUGAGGAGGCUCCUGAGGAGGUGUGUGAUGGUGAGGUACACGAUGAGGAGGCUCCUGAGGAGGUGUGAUGGUGAGGUGCACGAUGAGGAGGCUCCAGAGGAGAUGUGAUGGUGAGGUGCACGAUGAGGAGGCUCCAGAGGAGAUGUGAUGGUGAGGUGCACGAUGAGGAGGCAUCUGAUGAGGUGGGUGAUGGCGAGGUAAGCGAAAUGAGGGCACCUGAUGAGGUGUAAGAUGCACCAUGAGGACACACAGCCGGUGCGGUACGUACGGUGGAGCGCAGCAGCAGCACCUGGGCAUCGCGCACGCUGCUCCGUGUGCACGUGCUCUUCACGCACCACUCAGGCAGCCAGUAGAGCAGCAGCAGCAGGAAGCCGCCACUCGCCAUCACACCCAGGGCCACCAGCAGCAGCUUCCAGCGGCUCAGUCUAUAGCCGGACACCUCCUGCGAGGGCCGACCAGGGACGGGGGUUAAGAUCAGGACCACUCACAGUGGACCCCAUGUUAUUAGGACAGAGGAAGGGAGGGCUCUGAGUGAUCUCAUUACAGGAAUCUGCUCGGGGCCAACACCAUCAGCAGGAAUAUGUUAUUAUUAUUUCACACUAUUCAAAUUUGUACAAAAUACAUGAUAAACAGUAAUUUUACUUCAGUAUGUAUUAUGAAAAUCAGAAGAUAUAAUUAUUUUUUUCUAAUUAAAAAUGUUACUAGUGGCAUAUAGAACCAUGUACUACAAAAUCCAUGCAUCAUCCACAGAUUCCAUGCCACCCUAACUGACAUGAAUAAGAGCUUCUCACCAUCUCAUCCUCCAGUCCCUUGUUCACAAUCUUCUGGUCGUCCACUUCCAUCUCACAAGGUAGCGCUGAUGACAGCUACUCAUACACUGAAAUGAGUCAAAUGAGGCUUCAAACACACGGUAGACACAAUUCCAUCCUGCCGAUCCUCCACAGCGUUCCCAGGGUCAUUAGGAGUGUUUAAUAUCUGUAGUCAGACUAGAGUCACACAUAGACACCACAGCCUGAAAAAAGCAACAUGACUGCUAUAACAAAAACAUCUGAGGAAGCAGGCAGAGACCGUAAUUGGGGACAAAGGGCCUUUUGCUCAGAGACUCACUCCGCAAAGCAAGGGAUUUGAAUCUGCAACCGUGACUCACGGGCACAGUGUCUUAACCUGCAGAGCCACACACCACCCCAUGCAUUUGUGACAAAUUACAUUUAGGAAGAAGGGCAACAGGAAGGUGUGAAGGAGACACACCUGGGCCAGCAAGUGACGUAGAGGAGCAAGGUGCAGGCUACUGCCCCAUGAUAGCAAUGAGCCCCAAGAUAACAGCGAGCUCCCAUUAUAAAUACAGUAAAAUCCACUUAUAUUGGACUUCAAGGGAUCUGGCAAAGCAGUCCGUUAUAUCCAAAGUCCGUUACUUGUAGAGUUGCUGUAUGCCCAAAACACAACUACAGGACACCAUUUACGCAUGCCACACCCCAGCAGACACACUUGUGGUAUAGAUUAUUAUAUUGUCCAUCCAUCCAUCCAUCCAUAUAUUGUACAAGUAGUAAUCCAACUCAAUCUCCAGAUGCAUGACUAUUAAUAAUCCUGACUACGUAUCUGCGCUGGAUAUCACCGGCACGCCACGCACCUCGUAGGUGAAACCUGCAUGUCUGUUAUAACUGAACAAAACUACAGCUAAAAGUGGCCCUGGGGACCACAUUGUUUGUCCGUUAUAACCGAAAUUCCGUUAUAUGUGAGUCCACUAUAUCCGAUGCUUUUUCUGCAUGUUCAUAAAAGGCCCACGGCCGGGACCAGCGGACCUCGUCCAUUAUAGACGAUAUUCUGUUAUAAGCAAAUCCACUAUAACGAGGUUUUACUGUGUAAGUGUAAAAAAAAAAGACAGCAAGAAAUGUAUCUGAUUAUCAAAACAACCCUUAGCAUUGCUGUUGAGUGUUAGCCCAGCCUCACUCUGAACUGAUCUGUUGACAUUAUCAUGCCAGGGUUGCAACAUGUUUCGCACGCAACCUAUGCCAGCAUCUAAACAGAUAACACAAAAUAUGCAGCCCCCUGUUGCGUCUCUAUGAGCUCCGCCUAGGGGCAGCAGCUGGAGUCUGUACCACAGUGCGUCAGCCAGUUAGCUGUCAGCAAUGCCUAAUACACUGAUAAGAGCACUGAAGUCAGGGCACACCCUGCCCAUUGACUCCCUACAGGCAGCAACUAUUUAUGCUGUAACCUCUCUGCUAUUGCCGGCAAUUUUCUAUGGGUGAUGUAGAGUGCCACUGUGUGGGAGGCUAACGAACAUGUGACCUCUGCAAGGCUGAAAGGGAUGUCAGAUGUGGAUCUAAGGAAAGUGAAAGAAAAGGACGAGUAUGUGGAAAAGUGAAACUCCACGGUGAAAGAAAGAAAGAAAGAAUAUUGCACAUAGCUGGCAGCACUUGGUUAAGAAAAAUAAGCAUUUCCCAGCAUAGUACAGUUAGAGCCAUCAAUAUUCCAAGCUGAUAUAAUUUAAACUCAUGGUACACAGGCCUUAAAAACAUCAGGUAAGCUUUUGAGUUAACCAGCUUGUAAGGCUGGGUGAUUUAAACAGCUGGCCAGAAGCAGACAGGUUACCACAAUGCAAAGUAGGCAAUUAAUUACUGUACCGUUAAUGUUAUGUAUAAAAAGACCCAAAAUGUAAGUGGACCACUUGAUUACUAUAGGUAAAUUAUUUUAAAAGUAUUUCUACAGGAACGAUUGUCCCAAGCUAUUUGAUCCAUGUAAGCAGUUGAUCACUACAACCAUGAACUCUAUAAGCAGUUCCCACUCUAUUCUAAAUAUGUUGGAACAAAUAGGUGAUAUUACCUUUGGUAAGUGAAACUGUUUUUUCGCAGUGUUUACAUUUGACUUCUUUUUGUUCGGUGUCAUCUUCACUAAAGCCACUAAAGUAGAGACAGUACCACCUUUAUAACCAACCUCUACAUACACAGACAUCUUCCUGUAUUAUUCAACAAGUUAAAAAGAUAAUGGCAAUGUGUUUUUUUUUUAAAUGCUUCAGAAAAAUAGGGUAGGAGGAUAAACAAAGUCAAAUCAGAAAUUAUUACAUUAUCUUGCUUUGUGUGUAGCCUAAAAAGCAAUUCAUAGUUCACUUUUACUUGUGCUGUGGACGAUCAUGCAUGCAGCAGCUUGCGUUUGUAUUACAUUUGGCUGCAGACAAGAUGGUCACGGCCGGUGCUGCGUACAGCAGUGAUAUUGCACCAGACCAGGAGAGGGUAGUUGUAUUGCAACAAAACAAGUACAAGCAGUGUAGUGAAACAGGUAAACUUUUAUCAACAGUUUUAAACUUAUGAGUCCAGGCUUGGGCAGCACUACUGUGAAAUGGGAUACAACAGUAUAUUAAAAUCUUGUGGAAUAGUGCUAUUUUUUAAAAUACAAAAAAAUAUACAAAAUACUUUUUAAAAAUUAGAUACAGCUGUUUAUCAUAACUACUACAAGAAUUAUUCUAUACACAGAUAGCCCCUCAUUAAUAAAUUUACGUCAUGUCCCCUUGUCCGUAAUUGAAAACGCACAAAGAAAAGUGAAGUAUGAAUUGCCGUUAAGCCUACUUCCCCAACAAAGGCGAUAAUUGCUGGUGAGUCACUGUCAAACACCAACACUGGGCUACAAUAUCAAUAAUAUUGAUUAUUCAUGAUUUCUCCAUAGCACAACGGUCUAGUGCUAGACUGACGUCAUGAAUGCCACUGCACUGGUUUCAACUGUAGCCAAGUGACCUACAAGCAGUCCACUUCAUGAAUAAAAAGAAAAUUCACUUGCAACUCAGUUUUCCUUACUGUCCUGCAUUUUAACUUAAAAUGCUGUAUUCAUAUCAGUCUAGAGUGGAUUUAAAGGGAUAGGUUGCUUUUUGUAAGAUUAACAGAUUGGAAUGCACUACAAGUUUUACUUUUGAUACUUUUAAAUUAAGGGUACCACUAAUGCUAUUUUUUCAUGGAUUAAUUUAUCAACUAUUUUACGAUUAAUCAACCAAUCAAAACAAUUAACUUUCCUCCAGAAAAUCAACUUGACUAAUUUAUUUUCACGACAACAAACUGUACGUCACUGCAGUGCUUAAGAUAACAAAGGAUCACUUUGACACCUGUGGGCAUAUAUAAAGUCCCCAAAUUCGAAAAGCAGAUUGAAUCUCUAUGAUAUUUUAGACAGACAUACUGUGACUGCCAAAAGUUAGUAAUCUGUAUAAAUUCAGCACAUCCUUAUGCAUUUUAAAAUUCAGUUAGUGAGCAUGCUACUGUUUUGGUAAAUCAUGGAAGCAAUAAGCACUGCAGUGGCUGAAGUGGCGAUACUUUUUGCAAAUUGGUCAUGUUUUUUUUAGUUAAUAUAGUUUAAAUUUUUUUUCCCAGCUCACGAAUUAUUCUCUUUUAUUUAGUGUCCGAUUGUUUGUUUUAGUUUAUGAUAAAAACACUAGUCCCAAGAAGCCCAAACCACAUGAAUACACAUUCCGGCUUCGUCAAUCAACAUAAAAUAAGCAGAGAUUCUAGCCAAAACAUUUUCACAAACCCUUAUUUAAUGGAAAUUCUAAGGUAGCAGGCAGGGAGCUUUAUAGCUUUAAUAAUGAGUGUAUGUAGCAGUUAGAAUGACAAAAGAUAUUUAAAAGCCUUUUGCCUUUUCUGCCGGUUUAUCAUCCAGAAUAGCGCCUGUGCUUUACCUCUUCAAGUGCUCAUGAAUAGCACUGUCACAGUGGUAUGCCUUUGAAUCUUUGAACAAUAUAAAAUCAUCAUUUGGUUUGAUAAUUUCAAACCAACUGGGACGUUAUAACUAUAUGAACUCUAAUGAAUCUCAGUAUAAAUGCAGUUUCAUGCUCCCCGGUCGCCCAAAGGAGGAUGGGGUCCCCUUCAGAGUCGAGGUUCCUCUCGAAGUUUCUUCCCACUAGAGGGAGUUUUUCCUUGCCACUGUCGCCUCAGGCUUGCGUGGUGGGGUUCGGGCCGGUUAAAUGUAAAGUGCUUUGUGACAAUGACUGUUGUUAAAAGUGCUAUAUAAAUAAAAUUGAAUUGAAUUAAA